rnacentral:misc_RNA from 1 species
GUUAUGAAAGUCCAAAGCCGCAGAUUGGGAUUCAUCGUUACGUGUUCGUGUUGUUCAAGCAGCGAGGGAGACAGACGGUGAGAUUAUCGUCGUCUUCAAGAAGCAAUUUCAACACAAGAAACUUCACGGAGGCCAAUGGGUUGGGCCUUCCCGUCGCCGCUGUUUAUUUCAAUGCUCAGAGAGAAACCGCCGCAAGAAGAAAAUGAAUUAAGAGGACGAGGACG